rnacentral:rRNA from 1 species
GACGAACGCUGGCGGCGUGCUUAACACAUGCAAGUCGAACGGAAAGGCCCUGCUUUUGUGGGGUGCUCGAGUGGCGAACGGGUGAGUAACACGUGAGUAACCUGCCCUUGACUUUGGGAUAACUUCAGGAAACUGGGGCUAAUACCGGAUAGGAGCUCCUGCUGCAUGGUGGGGGUUGGAAAGUUUCGGCGGUUGGAGAUGGACUCGCGGCUUAUCAGCUUGUUGGUGGGGUAGUGGCUUACCAAGGCUUUGACGGGUAGCCGGCCUGAGAGGGUGACCGGCCACAUUGGGACUGAGAUACGGCCCAGACUCCUACGGGAGGCAGCAGUGGGGAAUAUUGCACAAUGGGCGGAAGCCUGAUGCAGCAACGCCGCGUGCGGGAUGACGGCCUUCGGGUUGUAAACCGCUUUCGCCUGUGACGAAGCGUGAGUGAUGGUAAUGGGUAAAGAAGCACCGGCUAACUACGUG